ensembl:snRNA U6 U6 spliceosomal RNA
GCAUGGCACACAUGCAUGGAAAUUGGAACAGUGCAGAGAAGAUUAGCAUGGCUCCUGUGCAAGGAUAACACACAAAUUUGUGAUGUGUUCCAUACUUUU